GAUGAGCGCUGGCGGCGUGCUUAACACAUGCAAGUCGAACGAUGAAGCCCAGCUUGCUGGGUGGAUUAGUGGCGAACGGGUGAGUAACACGUGAGUAACCUGCCCUUAACUCUGGGAUAAGCCUGGGAAACUGGGUCUAAUACCGGAUAGGAGCGUCCACCGCAUGGUGGGUGUUGGAAAGAUUUAUCGGUUUUGGAUGGACUCGCGGCCUAUCAGCUUGUUGGUGAGGUAAUGGCUCACCAAGGCGACGACGGGUAGCCGGCCUGAGAGGGUGACCGGCCACACUGGGACUGAGACACGGCCCAGACUCCUACGGGAGGCAGCAGUGGGGAAUAUUGCACAAUGGGCGCAAGCCUGAUGCAGCGACGCCGCGUGAGGGAUGACGGCCUUCGGGUUGUAAACCUCUUUCAGUAGGGAAGAAGCGAAAGUGACGGUACCUGCAGAAGAAGCACCGGCUAACUACGUGCCAGCAGCCGCGGUAAUACGUAGGGUGCGAGCGUUAUCCGGAAUUAUUGGGCGUAAAGAGCUCGUAGGCGGUUUGUCGCGUCUGUCGUGAAAGUCCGGGGCUUAACCCCGGAUCUGCGGUGGGUACGGGCAGACUAGAGUGCAGUAGGGGAGACUGGAAUUCCUGGUGUAGCGGUGGAAUGCGCAGAUAUCAGGAGGAACACCGAUGGCGAAGGCAGGUCUCUGGGCUGUAACUGACGCUGAGGAGCGAAAGCAUGGGGAGCGAACAGG
rnacentral:rRNA from 1 species